GUAGUUGACUUCAGGUUUAAGCACUCUAAUUAACAGGUUGAAAAUAGUGACAUUAAAGGAAGAGUAUGCAGCGCCACCCUGUCAGACGCCAGUGACGGUGGAGCUCAGUGAUGAAUCAGAGAAAGGAACAGGCACCAGACGAGGUCACAGAGAUACGAGGAUCCUUCGCAGCAGAGACAGACACAGUGACUGCCGAGACACCAACUGGGUCCAAGGGUCAUGGCGUUUGGGCUCCAGCUAGUCACUCAAAAGGAUGGAUCCCAUAAACACAGCAAUAACCAUGAAGGGGUUGGCGGAAAUCCGGGAACACCAGACCAACGAGGUUCGAGAGGCUCUUGGGCAAAA